UUCAUGCAAAUCACUGCUUGCUGUAAACCACCUCACUACACACUCUAUACUCUCAAAUAGGCAUUAACAUGUUCUCACUUUUCUCUCCUGUGUAAACACUCUCUUUUUUCUUCUGGGUGAGAAGAUUAUAAACGGACACACGCAGAACACAAUGCGCAUGCUCUCCCAUUGCUCACUGCCUCCAGG